rnacentral:rRNA from 1 species
AGUGAACGCUGGCUGUAGGCCUAACACAUGCAAGUCGAACGGCAGCACAGUAAGAGCUUGCUCUUACGGGUGGCGAGUGGCGGACGGGUGAGGAAUACAUCGGAAUCUACUUUUUCGUGGGGGAUAACGUAGGGAAACUUACGCUAAUACCGCAUACGACCUACGGGUGAAAGCAGGGGAUCUUCGGACCUUGCGCGAUUGAAUGAGCCGAUGUCGGAUUAGCUAGUUGGCGGGGUAAAGGCCCACCAAGGCGACGAUCCGUAGCUGGUCUGGGAGGAUGAUCAGCCACACUGGAACUGAGACACGGUCCAGACUCCUACGGGAGGCAGCAGUGGGGAAUAUUGGACAAUGGGCGCAAGCCUGAUCCAGCCAUACCGCGUGGGUGAAGAAGGCCUUCGGGUUGUAAAGCCCUUUUGUUGGGAAAGAAAAGCAGCAGGUUAAUACCCCGCUGUUCUGACGGUACCCAAAGAAUAAGCACCGGCUAACUUCGUG